CCAAUAGCGUAUAUUAAAGUUGUUGCAGUUAAAAAGCUCGUAGUUGAAUUUCGGGAUCAGUACGCCGGUCGUGCCUCCGGUACGUACUGGUGUCACUGAUUCCUCCCUUCUGACGAACCAUCAUGCCAUUAAGUUGGUGUGGUGGGAAAUCAGGACUGUUACUUUGAAAAAAUUAGAGUGUUUAAAGCAGGCUCACGCUUGAAUACAUUAGCAUGGAAUAAUGAAAUAGGACGUUGAUCCUAUUUUGUUGGUUUCUAGGAUUGACGUAAUGAUUAAUAGGGAUAGUUGGGGGCAUUAGUAUUCAAUUGUCAGAGGUGAAAUUCUUGGAUUUAUUGAAGACUAACUACUGCGAAAGCAUUUGCCAAGGAUGUUUUCAUUAAUCAAGAACGAGAGUUAGGGGAUCGAAGACGAUCAGAUACCGUCGUAGUCUUAACCAUAAACUAUGCCGACUAGAGAUCGGAUGAUGUUAAUUUUUUAAUGACUCAUUCGGCGCCUUACG
rnacentral:rRNA from 1 species